rnacentral:rRNA from 1 species
AAAUUGAAGAGUUUGAUCAUGGCUCAGAUUGAACGCUGGCGGCAGGCCUAACACAUGCAAGUCGAACGGUAACAGGAAGCAGCUUGCUGCUUUGCUGACGAGUGGCGGACGGGUGAGUAAUGUCUGGGAAACUGCCUGAUGGAGGGGGAUAACUACUGGAAACGGUGGCUAAUACCGCAUAACGUCGCAAGACCAAAGAGGGGGACCUUCGGGCCUCUUGCCAUCAGAUGUGCCCAGAUGGGAUUAGCUAGUUGGUGAGGUAACGGCUCACCAAGGCGACGAUCCCUAGCUGGUCUGAGAGGAUGGCCAGCCACACUGGAACUGAGACACGGUCCAGACUCCUACGGGAGGCAGCAGUGGGGAAUAUUGCACAAUGGGCGCAAGCCUGAUGCAGCCAUGCCGCGUGUAUGAAGAAGGCCUUCGGGUUGUAAAGUACUUUCAGCGGGGAGGAAGGUGUUGUGGUUAAUAACCUCAGCAAUUGACGUUACCCGCAGAAGAAGCACCGGCUAACUCCGUGCCAGCAGCCGCGGUAAUACGGAGGGUGCAAGCGUUAAUCGGAAUUACUGGGCGUAAAGCGCACGCAGGCGGUCUGUCAAGUCGGAUGUGAAAUCCCCGGGCUCAACCUGGGAACUGCAUUCGAAACUGGCAGGCUUGAGUCUUGUAGAGGGGGGUAGAAUUCCAGGUGUAGCGGUGAAAUGCGUAGAGAUCUGGAGGAAUACCGGUGGCGAAGGCGGCCCCCUGGACAAAGACUGACGCUCAGGUGCGAAAGCGUGGGGAGCAAACAGGAUUAGAUACCCUGGUAGUCCACGCCGUAAACGAUGUCUACUUGGAGGUUGUGCCCUUGAGGCGUGGCUUCCGGAGCUAACGCGUUAAGUAGACCGCCUGGGGAGUACGGCCGCAAGGUUAAAACUCAAAUGAAUUGACGGGGGCCCGCACAAGCGGUGGAGCAUGUGGUUUAAUUCGAUGCAACGCGAAGAACCUUACCUGGUCUUGACAUCCACAGAAGAAUCCAGAGAUGGAUUUGUGCCUUCGGGAACUGUGAGACAGGUGCUGCAUGGCUGUCGUCAGCUCGUGUUGUGAAAUGUUGGGUUAAGUCCCGCAACGAGCGCAACCCUUAUCCUUUGUUGCCAGCGAUUAGGUCGGGAACUCAAAGGAGACUGCCAGUGAUAAACUGGAGGAAGGUGGGGAUGACGUCAAGUCAUCAUGGCCCUUACGACCAGGGCUACACACGUGCUACAAUGGCGCAUACAAAGAGAAGCGACCUCGCGAGAGCAAGCGGACCUCAUAAAGUGCGUCGUAGUCCGGAUUGGAGUCUGCAACUCGACUCCAUGAAGUCGGAAUCGCUAGUAAUCGUGGAUCAGAAUGCCACGGUGAAUACGUUCCCGGGCCUUGUACACACCGCCCGUCACACCAUGGGAGUGGGUUGCAAAAGAAGUAGGUAGCUUAACCUUCGGGAGGGCGCUUACCACUUUGUGAUUCAUGACUGGGGUGAAGUCGUAACAAGGUAACCGUAGGGGAACCUGCGGUUGGAUCACCUCCUUACCUUAAAGAA